rnacentral:rRNA from 1 species
AGUGAACGCUGGCGGCGUGCUUAACACAUGCAAGUCGAACGAGAACGGGAUAUAGCUUGCUAUAUUUGUCAGCUAAGUGGCGCACGGGUGAGUAAUGUAUAGAUAACCUGCCCUCUAGAAAGGAAUAACAGUUGGAAACGACGGCUAAUGCCCUAUAUGCCUUUAAUAAAUAAGUAGGAAAGGGAAACGCUUUAGUGCUAGAGGAUGGGUCUGUAUGGUAUCAGCUUGUUGGUGAGGUAAUGGCUCACCAAGGCUAUGACGCCUAACUGGUUUGAGAGGAUGAUCAGUCACACUGGAACUGAGACACGGUCCAGACUCCUACGGGAGGCAGCAGUGGGGAAUAUUGCACAAUGGACGAAAGUCUGAUGCAGCAACGCCGCGUGGAGGAUGACACAUUUCGGUGCGUAAACUCCUUUUAUAUAGGAAGAUAAUGACGGUACUAUAUGAAUAAGCACCGGCUAACUCCGUGCCAGCAGCCGCGGUAA